UACGUAGGCAGCGAGCGUUGUUCGGAGUUACUGGGCGUAAAGGGUGUGUAGGCGGUUGUUUAAGUUUGGUGUGAAAUCUCCCGGCUCAACUGGGAGGGUGCGCCGAAUACUGAAUGACUUCGAGUGCGGGAGAGGAGAGUGGAAUUCCUGGUGUAGCGGUGGAAUGCGCAGAUAUCAGGAAGAACACCCGUGGCGAAGGCGGCUCUCUGGACCAUUGCUGACGCUGAGACACGAAAGCGUGGGGAGCGAACAGG
rnacentral:rRNA from 1 species